UUGUCUCAAAGAUUAAGCCAUGCAUGUCUCAGUACAAGCCAAAUUAAGGUGAAACCGCGAAAGGCUCAUUAAAUCAGUUAUGGUUCCUUAGAUCGUACCCACAAUUACUUGGAUAACUGUGGUAAUUCUAGAGCUAAUACAUGCAAACAGAGCUCCGACCGGAGACGGAAGGAGUGCUUUUAUUAGAUCAAAACCAAUCGGUGGCGGACGCGUUUCGCGCGCGCUCGUCAUCGUACAAUUUGGUGACUCUGAAUAACUUUAAGCUGAUCGCACGGUCCAGCACCGGCGACGCAUCUUUCAAAUGUCUGCCUUAUCAACUGUCGAUGGUAGGUUCUGCGCCUACCAUGGUCGUAACGGGUAACGGGGAAUCAGGGUUCGAUUCCGGAGAGGGAGCCUGAGAAACGGCUACCACAUCCAAGGAAGGCAGCAGGCGCGCAAAUUACCCACUCCCGGCACGGGGAGGUAGUGACGAAAAAUAACGAUACGGGACUCAUCCGAGGCCCCGUAAUCGGAAUGAGUACACUCUAAACCCUUUAACGAGGAUCAAUUGGAGGGCAAGUCUGGUGCCAGCAGCUGCGGUAAUUCCAGCUCCAAUAGCGUAUAUUAAAGUUGUUGCGGUUAAAAAGCUCGUAGUCGAAUUUGUGUCUCGCGGCGCCGGUUCAUCGUCCGCGGUGUUAACUGGCGUGUCGCGCGAGACGUCCUGCCGGUGGGUUUUACUGCGGCGCGCGCGAUUUCUGGCGGCGACGGUACGACGACGACGACGGCGGUACGACGGCUACCCAACUUUCAAUCCUGCCGCGGUGCUCUUCGUUGAGUGUCGAGGUGGGCCGGCACGUUUACUUUGAACAAAUUAGAGUGCUUAAAGCAGGCUAAAAUUUCGCCUGAAUACUGUGUGCAUGGAAUAAUGGAAUAGGACCUCGGUUCUAUUUUGUUGGUUUUCGGAACCCCGAGGUAAUGAUUAAUAGGAACGGAUGGGGGCAUUCGUAUUGCGACGUUAGAGGUGAAAUUCUUGGAUCGUCGCAAGACGAACAGAAGCGAAAGCAUUUGCCAAAAACGCUUUCAUUGAUCAAGAACGAAAGUUAGAGGUUCGAAGGCGAUCAGAUACCGCCCUAGUUCUAACUAUAAACGAUGCCAGCUAGCGAUCCGUCGAAGUUCCUCCGAUGACUCGACGGGCAGCUCACGGGAAACCAAAGCUUUUGGGUUCCGGGGGAAGUAUGGUUGCAAAGCUGAAACUUAAAGGAAUUGACGGAAGGGCACCACCAGGAGUGGAGCCUGCGGCUUAAUUUGACUCAACACGGGAAACCUCACCAGGCCCGGACACCGGAAGGAUUGACAGAUUGAGAGCUCUUUCUUGAUUCGGUGGGUGGUGGUGCAUGGCCGUUCUUAGUUGGUGGAGCGAUUUGUCUGGUUAAUUCCGAUAACGAACGAGACUCUAGCCUGCUAACUAGGCGUUAAAAUUUUGACAUCGCAAAGGCCCGCCGGUAUAUUUGGUUUCGGGACCGCUCGUUCGUCGUUCGUCGUCGCGUCUGUCGAUUAGUCGUCGUCGUCGUCGUCGUCGUCGUCGUCUUCUCGUCGUUGUCGUCGUCGUCGUCGUCGUUUUUUCNCGACGUCGCGUACGCGUAUCGCAUUCGUGUGAUUUCGCGCGCGCGCGCGUUCGCGUUUACUUCGGCGUCUGUGAUGAUGAUGAUGAUGAUGGUGGUGGUGGUGGUGAUGGUGGCGGCGGCGUUCGUCGGCCGGCCGGCUGGCGAUUCGACGAUUCCGUACUUUAUAGCGCGGUUUUUACUGUCGACGUACAAACAAUUCUUCUUAGAGGGACAGGCGGCAUUUAGCCGCACGAGAUUGAGUAAUAACAGGUCUGUGAUGCCCUUAGAUGUUCUGGGCCGCACGCGCGCUACACUGAAGGAAUCAGCGUGUCCUCCCUGGCCGAGCGGUCCGGGUAACCCGCUGAACCUCCUUCGUGCUAGGGAUUGGGGCUUGCAAUUGUUCCCCAUGAACGAGGAAUUCCCAGUAAGCGCGAGUCAUAAGCUCGCGUUGAUUACGUCCCUGCCCUUUGUACACACCGCCCGUCGCUACUACCGAUUGAAUGAUUUAGUGAGGUCUUCGGAUCGACACGCGAUGGCGUUUCGACGUCGUCGAUGUGUAGAAAGAUGACCAAACUUGAUCAUUU
rnacentral:rRNA from 1 species